rnacentral:tRNA from 1 species
GGCCGCUUAGUUCAGUUGGAUGGAGCGUCGUGCUAAUAACGCCCUAAUCGCGGGUUCGAUUCCCGUAUUAGCCA